rnacentral:tmRNA from 1 species
GGGAGCGAAAUAGGUUCGACAGCGGAGGCUGAUGCCGUAUUGCAGGUCGCAGGAGAUGUACUGCGUGAACAAUGUCUAGACACCAAUAUAGGUGCCGAAAAUAACUCACUUGCCUACGCUGCGUAAUUAACGUAACGUGAGGUAGCUGGCGCAAAGUCGUCAGUCGUUUGCAUCUGUUUUGCCCGUCUGGGCAGGUGUGAGCGUCAUUCUAGGCGGGAUGCUAUCUCGUAUACACCGAUACCAUGAGACCAAGAUUUUAUCGGUUAGUUAACAGUCUACCGUGUCUCCCGGGCUACUGUUGGCGAAUGUAAAUGGACGACUAAACCUGUAGAUAUGCGCGUGUCGAGACCGUUGGACGGCGGUGCGAUACCGCCCGCUUCCACAU